rnacentral:lncRNA from 1 species
CCGAAGUAUGGGUUGCUGAUCUCCACAAGUAUAUCAUAUGGAUAGGAGUUUCUUCAGAUUGCUCGUAGCCGUAUAAAGGUAUCCGACCUCUACAAAUCAUCCACACGAAGAAAGGAUGCUGAUCUGGCUCCUCAGAAGUGCUAGCUUGCAAGGAUCUUUGAAGGCUGAUCUUCUUCUUCUUCUUUUGUUCUCUUAGAGCCUCCAGAGAGGAAGAAGAAUAAUUAGAUGAAGGGAAG